GUGUCAGCCGCCGCGGUAAUACGUAGGGGGCAAGCGUUGUCCGGAUUCAUUGGGCGUAAAGAGCGUGUAGGCGGCCAGGUAGGUCUGGUGUGAAAACUGGAGGCUCAACCUCCAGCUGUCACUGGAAACCAUCUGGCUAGAGUCCGGAAGAGGAGAGUGGAAUUCCUGGUGUAGCGGUGAAAUGCGCAGAUAUCAGGAAGAACACCUAUGGCGAAGGCAGCUCUCUGGGACGGUACUGACGCUGAGACGCGAAAGCGUGGGGAGCGAACAGGAUUAGAAACCCGCGUAGUCC
rnacentral:rRNA from 1 species